rnacentral:rRNA from 1 species
AGAGUUUGAUCCUGGCUCAGGAUGAACGCUAGCUACAGGCUUAACACAUGCAAGUCGAGGGGCAGCAUGUUGGUUGCUUGCAACCAAUGAUGGCGACCGGCGCACGGGUGAGUAACGCGUAUCCAACCUACCCUUGUCCAUCGGAUAACCCGUCGAAAGGCGGCCUAACACGAUAUGCGGUUCUCAGCAGGCAUCUAACGAGAACGAAUAGUGAAGGAGAAGGAUGGGGAUGCGUCUGAUUAGCUUGUUGGCGGGUAACGGCCCACCAAGGCGACGAUCGAGUAGGGGUUCUGGAGAGGAAGGUCCCCCAGAUUGGAACUGAGACACGGUCCAAACUCCUACGGGAGGCA